UGCCCAGGCUGGAGUGCAGUGAUGCAAUCUUGGCUCACUGCAACCUCUGCCCCUGGGUUCAAGUGAUUCUCCUGCUUCAGCCUCCUGAGUAGCUGGGAUUACAGGCAUGUGCCACCACACCCAGGCACAUGAACAGUUGCAAUGAUAAUCGUGGACCUUCAGUGAUGGUGUCUCCCAGCAACAAGCCAGAUCCCGCUGUAGCCCACCCUCUGCCCUGGCAAGAUGAACAUGGAGUAGGGGGCUUUUCUGCUUCAGAGCAGCAGUCAUGGAGCCUGGCCUGGCCCUGAUGAAUGUUUCUCAUCCCUGAUGCCCUGAAGUGGGCCUGCCAAGCAGCCCCAACUCUUUUGGGCUGUCCCCACAUGUGGGCUGUCCCCAGAGCUCUCUCUUCUCCGUGACAGCAGUCCUUGGCGUCAUCCCAGCCUCUGGCCUGGGGCUCUCAGGGUCAUGCUUCUGGCACAGCUCAGGCUCCCCUGGGUGCCCUGCCCUCAGUGGGUGACUGCACCCUGGGAGGAAGGGAGGUGCAGCUGGAGAGGAGGAAUGGUGGGGAGCCCCAGGGCAGGGUGGCUGGAGGCAGGCAGUAUCUGGAUGGCUGCCAGAAUAGGGGCCAACCCUCUCCCAGGCACAAAGGGCUCUCUGUGAAGGACACACCAGCCCCAAGUGGAAUCCAGGAGGCUCAUGUUUCUUAACACAAAGGAGGGUCAUUCCCAGACCAGCCUGGGUGUGGCCUGGAGGCUGAACCCCUCUGGGCAGUGCCCUUGGACUCCCAGGGACCCAUGUGGGGGGCUUCGGUCUUCAUUCUGAUCUGGUCUGCGCAGGCAGAUGGAGAGAGGCCUGGGCAGGCGGCCUCACCUCUUCCUCUGGGAGAAGCCUUCCUAGGUCUCCCUACCACAUUCUCCCUCCCACACGCACACGUGCACACACACACGUGCACACACACUUGCACACUCAGAGUCCAAGGGAGAGAAGAUUCCCAACCUAACCACACUUAGAUUAGCCAAGUACGUUGUGCAGACCCUUCUUCUGGCUGGGAAGCAUGUCACGAGAGCCACUGUGUGACCACAGGCAACAGGAUUCCUUCUCUUCAGAACUCAGAAGUGCUCCCUGCCACGAAGCACCUCCUCAGUGUGACCCUGCCAAGCAUAAAAUAGAUAUGCAUAUAUGUACACACAUAUACACACAUAUUUUAUAUAUAUAUAUACAUAAAGAGAGAGACCUAAAAAUGGCAUGGUAGAGAUUUGAAAUCGUCCAUGCUGAUGUGUCUUUCAGCCAAGCCUGAGGUCGAUUUGGGUGGCUGUGCCCUGUGGAAAGAGAUGGGUCAGGGAGAUACCUAGAUACUCACUGGGACUUGUGGGCUUUGUGUUUUUUAAUGGAAGAGUUGGAGUAGGAUCUAUACGGUCUCUUCAGCUCUUGGUAUAGGCCUGAAAGCCACAAGGAUGGACGUCCACCCACCAGCCCCACUGCCCACCCAGCUCCCGAGGCCCCGCUGCAUCGGAGGUCUCUGUGGAUGUCUGUCGGGGCACUGGCAGGCACAGUCCCUCCCUGGACCAUAGCUGAGUUCUGAGGGUAAUGGAUAAGAAGUGUGGGAUUUUCAAAGACUGGCCUUUUCCUAUCCUGUAUGUUCUGCAUUGGGAACGAUGGAGAAGACAUUCAUUUAUUGAACACACAUUUCCUGGGCACCAUCCAUGCACCAAUAAAUAAAACAGACACAAUUAAUUUCGUGCUUUUAGGAGCUUACAUUUGACACAACACAUAGGAGCUUCCCCUCCAUAUAGUUUGCUAAGGUGGCUGUAACAAAAUACCACAGUCUGGGUGGCUUGAACAGCAGCAAUGUAUCCUCUCACAGUUCUGGAGGCUGGAAGUCCAAGGUCAAGGUGUCAGCGGGGCUGGUUCCUCUUGAGGGCUGUAAUAGAGGAUCUGCUCCCUGCCUCUGUCUUCUGGUGGUUUGCCGCCAUCUUUGGCAUUUGUGUGUUGCAGAAGCAUCAUGCUGAUGCUGACUUCAUCUUUACACGGGGUUCUCCCUGUGUGCAGGUUUGCCUCUGUGUUCAAUUUCCCCUUUUUAUAAGGACUCAUUGGAUCAGGGUCCACCCUAAUGACCUCGUCUUAACUUGAUCAUUGGCAAAGACCCUAUUUCCAAAAGAGGUCACGUUCUGAUCCUGAGGGUUAGGACUCCAACGCAUCUUUUUUUGGAGGUGGACACAAUUCAAUCUGCAAUGACUUCUAAAGAAAAGCAUACGAAAGCACGGAGGGGAGCACCCACCCUUGAGGCACCUGAGGUCUCCUGCUUCCACAGGCUCUCACCCAAAUCCCUCUGACGUGGAGCCUGGCCAUGGCCCAUUCCCUACCAGAAGGGAUGAUGGGAAUUCGAGUUUCUGGCUUCUACCCUGGAGAGGCAGGGACAUUUAAUGUGAGAUUUUCUCCAAGUGCAGGAGGAACAUUCCAAAGAUUCAUGCAAAUGUUGCCAUAAAGCACAACAGAAAUCCACUAUGCUUUACCUGGGUAUGGUAGCACACGCCUCUCUUCCCAGCUACUUGGGAGGCUGAGGUGGGAGGAUCACUUGAGCCUAGGAGAUUGAGGCUGCAGUGAGCCAAGAUCACACCACUGCAAUCCAACCUGAGCAACAGAGUGAGAGCCUGUCAAAGAAAGAGAGAGAGAGAAA